GACAGAGGAUGCAAGCGUUAUCCGGAAUGAUUGGGCGUAAAGCGUCUGUAGGUGGCUUUUCAAGUCCGCCGUCAAAUCCCAGGGCUCAACCCUGGACAGGCGGUGGAAACUGCCAAGCUGGAGUACGGUAGGGGUAGAGGGAAUUUCCGGUGGAGCGGCGAAAUGCGUAGAGAUCGGAAAGAACACCAACGGCGAAAGCACUCUGCUGGGCCGACACUGACACUGAGAGACGAAAGCUAGGGGAGCGAAUGGG
rnacentral:rRNA from 1 species